rnacentral:rRNA from 1 species
CCUACGGGCGGCUGCAGUGGGGAAUAUUGGGCAAUGGGCGCAAGCCUGACCCAGCAACGCCGCGUGAAGGAAGAAGGCUUUCGGGUUGUAAACUUCUUUUCUCAGGGACGAAGCAAGUGACGGUACCUGAGGAAUAAGCCACGGCUAACUACGUGCCAGCAGCCGCGGUAAUACGUAGGUGGCAAGCGUUAUCCGGAUUUACUGGGUGUAAAGGGCGUGUAGGCGGGAAAGCAAGUCAGAUGUGAAAACCAUGGGCUCAACCUGUGGCCUGCAUUUGAAACUGUUUUUCUUGAGGGCUGGAGAGGCAAUCGGAAUGCCGGGUGUAGCGGUGAAAUGCGUAGAUAUACGGAGGAACACCAGUGGCGAAGGCGGAUUGCUGGACAGUAACUGACGCUGAGGCGCGAAAGCGUGGGGAGCAAACAGGAUUAGAUACCCGAGUAGUC